GCUGGCGGCCACAUCUCCCACAUUUAUCUUUAAUUUUAAGCUAGUCUACUGUCUUUCAGCUUCAGGUGAGUUAUUUGCAUUGGUAUUCUGCAGUAUGGAAGAAGUGUGUAUAGAAUUAUUUCCCACAGGUGUCGCUGGAUCUCUGCUUCUGGAUCCAGUCGUGAAGGGAUGUCUUCUGAUGCUCUCGUCUGCUGGCCUGUAUGCUGAUAGUUGGAGUGCUGGCUCAGAUUCAAUGCUGUGUUCGCCUUGUGCUGCUUUCUCUGUACACAUUUUAAGCCUACACAUUACACUACAACCAAAGACUGUUUAAGAUAUUUUUCUUGUUCCAGCUUUUUAUAUAUGUGUGUAUGUUUUUUUUUCUCUUC
rnacentral:lncRNA from 1 species